UACGAAGGGGGCUAGCGUUGCUCGGAAUUACUGGGCGUAAAGGGCGCGUAGGCGGACAGUUUAGUCAGAGGUGAAAGCCCAGGGCUCAACCUUGGAAUUGCCUUUGAUACUGGCUGUCUUGAGUUCGGGAGAGGUGAGUGGAAUGCCGAGUGUAGAGGUGAAAUUCGUAGAUAUUCGGCGGAACACCAGUGGCGAAGGCGACUCACUGGCCCGAUACUGACGCUGGAGGCGCGAAAGCGUGGGAGCAAACAGG
rnacentral:rRNA from 1 species